rnacentral:rRNA from 1 species
GUCUCAGUUCGGAUUGGAGUCUGNAACCCGACUCCAUGAAGCUGGAUUCGCUAGUAAUCGCGCAUCAGCCACGGCGCGGUGAAUACGUUCCCGGGCCUUGUACACACCGCCCGUCAAGCCAUGGGAGCCGGGGGUACCUGAAGUGCGUGACCGCAAGGAGCGCCCUAAGGUAAAACCGGUGACUGGGGCUAAGUCGUAACAAGGUAUC